rnacentral:lncRNA from 1 species
UCGAAUACAAGCAUAAAGCUCGUAAAUAAGUUUGAAGGAAUUACAUCCACGUCUCUCGACGAUUUUACUCUUGCAAUUCAUCCGUCUCCUAUGUAAUAACAACUAUCUAAAAAAAGCAUUUCAUCCGUCUCCUAUGCAAUAAGAACUAUCUAAAAAAAAGAUUGAGUUUUGGUUUUCAAAAGAGUCAUUGUAAGCCACUGGUCACUCUAAUAGUCAAUAAAUAUGAGAAAUUGGUAUGUUAAUGCGCGUCAAAAGGUCCAACUAUCGGAUUAUAAGCUUAAAGCUCAUAAUCAGGUUGAAGGAGUUACAACCACUUCUCUAGACAACUCUAUUCUUGCAAUUCAUCCAUCUCCUCCAUGUAGUGAGAACUAUCUAAAAAAGAUUGAGUUUUGGUUUUCUAAUUGAAGAAUCAUUGUAAGCCACUGGUCACUCUAAUAGUCAAUAAAUGAGAAAUUGGUAUGUUAAUGCGUCAAAAGGUUCAACUAUCGGAUUAUAAGCUUAAAACUCAUAAUCAGGUUGAUGGAGUUACAACCACUUCUCUAGACAACUCUAUUCUUGCAAUUCAUCCAUCUCCUCCAUGUAGUGAGAACUAUCUAAAAAAGAUUGAGUUUUGGUUUUCUAAUUGAAGAAUCAUUGUAAGCCACUUGGUCACUCUAAUUAUCAAUAAAUAUGAUAAAUUGUUAUGCUAUUGUGUCAAGGUUCAACUAUUUGGAUUUCUUAAAGCUCAAUCAGAUUAAAGGAUCUCUACGACGUUACUCUUACAAUUCUUCCAUGCCUUUUGAUCACUCUAAUUGUCAAUAAAUAUGUUAAAUUGUUAUGUUAAUGUUUCAACAUGGCACAAUUUGUUGAAAAGUUGCAACAUCUAACAAUUUAUCUUAAUGUAUUGAAAUAAGCCUGGAAAACAAAUGCAGUUAGUUGUCAAAUCAUUGCAAAAUUAGACGUACUAAGUAUGAAUGAAAAACUAAUGAUUUAUUUUAGUGAUUAAAUACCUAUAAUUUAACAAAUAUAUAUGCCUAGAUGAAAAUGUGUAGGUAAAUUCACAAACAAUAAAAGGAAAAAAAAUUUCGACCAUAAACGCCACUCAUGAGGCAGCGAUUUUUCUAAUAUAUUUUCAUGGAAUUUAUAGAUAAUUCAAACCGAAAGAAAAAAUUAACAAUUUGUCUUACUGAUUUUAUAUCAUAAUUAUAAAAUUUAUUUUGUUGACAGAUGGGUAAACAGCGUAAAUGCCACUGAACACACAACAUAUUAUGAAACAAACAAUACCAAUACAAGUGUAUAAAAUUGUAACAAAAUUUCACAAUUCUAAUAAAAAUAUAGUAAAUGAAUUGUAAAAAAGAUUUCGUUAUUUUUUUUAUUGAAGAUGACUCAUGAUUUGAUCAUUAAGACAGGUUACCGUGAGUCGAUGAAUUUUGAUGGCAGAUUAUUCAAAUUUUCUACGCCGCUGUUUGAAAAGAAUCCACCUGAUUUCUGGGAGCUGUGUUUUAAAAGUUUUACGCUAUGACUACUUGUUUUUGAGGUUCUAUACAGUGAGAAAAGUUGAGGCGAAAGCCGAUAUUUAUUUGGAAGAAUUUUAUAGGUUUCCAUGAGAUCGCCUUUCUUUUCGAUCUUGAAGGGUUGUUAAAUUAGUAGUUAAUUUUGAUUAUGCCAAUCUGUUGAAGUUAAACAUCGAUAAACUAGUUUCAUGGUGCAAUGUUAAUUCUCUUAAAAUUGAACAUUGCCCAACUCAAUGUAAUGAGUUAUUUCGAAGGUGAUAAAAAAGUUUUUUGUACAAAAUUAAUGGUGCAUGUAUAGAGUCAAUAGUUUUAGUGUUCUUUGUGUUCUGUUUGCCCUAUUUCAUUUAAAAGCCAUAUUGCUGUCAGUAUCUCGAUCCAAAGACUAGAUAAGACGCACUUUAGCAAUGAUAUUCAGUCAAUUCAAAAUCUGUUUUGCACUUAUUAAGAAUUACACUCUGAUAACAUUGAUAAGGUUCAAAAUAAGUUCUUAAGACUCAUUGCAUAUAGAUUAAGGAUUAAAUCAGAUGAAAUCAACAAUAAACAUCUUUUGACACUACUCAAUUUAACUUCCCUUGAUUAUAAAGCUAGUUUAAACGUAACAUCAUAUCGAAUGUGACCAAAUUUUAUAUUUUUAAUUUAAUUACAAGUUUAAUGUCUUUUUGAAAGAAGGGGCUCCAAACUUGAAAAAAUCCAAUAUGGGCCGAACAUAGAUGCUGACUUUGCCAGAAGAGAAUAUUAACUUAACUACUUUUUGUGUAGAAGAAGAUCAUAAGCGACAGGAGCCACAACUCUAACUCUGAAGAAGAGCUAAUUCACAAGAGGACUUGCCCCAAACGAUGCUUGUCAACACCAGCUUCCACAUCUUUUAACGCCUUUCAGGAUCUUCUUCCUGUUCCUGGAUCUUCGACAGUUUACUCUAUUUGAUUUGUCGCAAUGACUAAGACUAAGGCCAGCUUAGUCCCCUUGUUGAGUCCUAGGCUAAGUGUGGCUGCUUGAUUGUUCUAGACUGAGUCCUUGGAUUUUUAUUGUCUCUUUUUUAUUUGUCUUAUUUCAUUUUUCUUUCUUUUUGUGCUUUUUAUUAAAUUGAUUCUUGGGAAAUAAAUUUUUCCCUGGACAAAAUGAUGAAUUACUAGAUUGGAUGUAGAUGUAGACAUAUUAAUCAGAGUUUGUAUAUACUGCGCCCAUUAGGAGCUGUUGUAAAUCCUGUUCUGUGCUUAUUCUAUAAAUAUUGAUAUUUUAUUGUAUUAAUAUGAUAUUGAUUUAUAUGUUAUUAUUAUUCUCAUUGUUACUUUAUAAAAAUAAUUAGUGUUAAUUUCUCAUAGUAUUACAUUUUGAUGAUAUUUUAUUUUUACAUUACUACUUAAAAAAUAUGUGAGUACAAAAUCUGGUUUAUAGUGAUUACAUUUGUAAAUUGGGAACAUAUACAUUUUUGCACGUAAAUUAUGACAAAUAUACAUAAUGUUUGAUAUGUUACUGCACAGCAAGCAUUAAGGGCAGAUGUAUACAACAACUAUCACCAUGAUGAUCAACCACCAGUGAUUUUUCUGUUAUUCUUUCAUGGAAAUGAUUUUUUUUUUUUAAUAGAAGAAUCACUGUAUACACUUUGUCCCUCUGACUGUCAAGAAAUAAUAAAAAUCUUUCCAUUCAACAUUGUGCAAUUUGUUAGAAAAAUCUGAAGAAAUGACUCAUGAUUUGUGCCAGUGACCAGUAAAUAAUCCUAUCACUUCUCUCAGUUUAGCCCU